GGAUUGGGACAUGAAGACCUGUGGGUCCAAAGCCCCUUCUAUCUUUAUGUGAUGACAGUCUGCCCAUGUGACCCUGGCCAGUUCAACUUGCAAUGAAUCAAGGGCAUGGUUUAAAGACUAGAACCUUGCUGCUGCGGCUGCUGCUGCUGCUACUAUUUGAGCUCAGAUCAAAUCCCUGAACCAGUGAACCUGGAAGGAACCUGCUGGUGAAGAGGGAGCCUAGACAGAGGAAAAGCAAGAGAUGGACUUUCUGAAGUGUUUUGAACCCACUCUCACAAGGGCUACAGUGGGGCUUAUGCAUGUGGCUUUGGGGAAACGGAACCCUCCUUUGGCCUUUGGAAUUCAGGAUGUGCAUCGUCAACACUCGCUCCUGUGUGGCUUGGUAGUGAUAAUGCCUCUGUCUCUCUUCUCUGCUCAGGGAGUUCUGUGGUAACAGAAGAUGAAGCAUGGUGGGAUACUGUGGUCCUUUCACUUGGAUUGGAUGGAAGAUGCCCCUGGCAGCUGAGGAUUACAAGGGAGCAGAGAGAAGACAAGCCUACAAAGGCCUUGUCAUUAAGCAUAGAGGAUGAUGGAGUGAAUGGUAGUCCAAUUCUAACAUUGAUGUGGAGGGGCAUACCUUCCCAUGGAAUUCUGCCUUAUCAAAGUCAGGGUAUCAGUAAAUUCUCUGAGGAAC
rnacentral:lncRNA from 1 species